UUGACCUCGGAUCAGGUAGGAAGACCCGCUGAACUUAAGCAUAUCAAUAAGCGGAGGAAAAGAAACCAACAGGGAUUGCCCUAGUAACGGCGAGUGAAGCGGCAACAGCUCAAAUUUGAAAUCUGGCUUCGGCCCGAGUUGUAAUUUGCAGAGGAAGCUUUAGGCGCGGCACCUUCUGAGUCCCCUGGAACGGGGCGCCAUAGAGGGUGAGAGCCCCGUAUAGUUGGAUGCCUAGCCUGUGUAAAGCUCCUUCGACGAGUCGAGUAGUUUGGGAAUGCUGCUCAAAAUGGGAGGUAAAUUUCUUCUAAAGCUAAAUACCGGCCAGAGACCGAUAGCGCACAAGUAGAGUGAUCGAAAGAUGAAAAGCACUUUGAAAAGAGGGUUAAAUAGCACGUGAAAUUGUUGAAAGGGAAGCGCUUGUGACCAGACUUGCGCCGGGCGGAUCAUCCGGUGUUCUCACCGGUGCACUCCGCCCGGCUCAGGCCAGCAUCGGUUCUCGCGGGGGGAUAAAGGCAUCGGGAACGUGGCUCCUCCGGGAGUGUUAUAGCCCGUUGCGUAAUGCCCUCGCGGGGACCGAGGUUCGCGCAUCUGCAAGGAUGCUGGCGUAAUGGUCAUCAGCGAC
rnacentral:rRNA from 2 species